rnacentral:rRNA from 1 species
UACGUAGGGUGCGAGCGUUAAUCGGAAUUACUGGGCGUAAAGCGUGCGCAGGCGGUGAUGUAAGACAGAUGGGAAAUCCCCGGGCUCAACCUGGGAACUGCAUCUGUGACUGCAUCGCUGGAGUGCGGCAGAGGGGGAUGGAAUUCCGCGUGUAGCAGUGAAAUGCGUAGAUAUGCGGAGGAACACCGAUGGCGAAGGCAAUCCCCUGGGCCUGCACUGACGCUCAUGCACGAAAGCGUGGGGAGCAAACAGG